GCGCCCGCCGGUGCGGCACCCGGAGGCGAUCCUGGUCGUGAUGGGCGCCGCGGCCGUCCCGUGGCUCCUGUCGUUCGAUCCGGCGUGGGCGCUC
rnacentral:tRNA from 14 species